rnacentral:rRNA from 1 species
CUACGGGGGGCAGCAGGCGCGAAACCUUUACAAUGCACGAAAGUGUGAUAAGGGAAUCCCAAGUGCUUUGCUUUUAGUAAAGCUUUUGCCAAGAGUAAAAAUCUUGGCGAAUAAGUGGUGGGUAAGACUUGUGCCAGCCGCCGCGGUAACACCAGCGCCACAAGUGGCAACCACUAUUAUUGGGCCUAAAGCGUCCGUAGCCGGUCCAGUAAAUUUCCUGUGAAAUCGUUAGGCUUAACUUAACGGCAUGCAGGAAACACUACUGGACUAGGGACCGGGAGGCGUCAGAGGUAUUCCUGAGGGAGCGGUAAAAUGCUAUAAUCUCAGGAGGACCACCAGUGGCGAAGGCGUCUGACGAGAACGGAUCCGACGGUGAGGGACGAAAGCCAAGGGAGCAAACCGGAUUAGAUACCCCGGUAGUC